AAAAACAUCCGACGGUUCAGAUCUUUCUUUUCUCAUUAAUAACAAUUUUUUAGCAAGUGAGGGGAUAACGAGAAGGAGAUGCAUGAUGGUUAUUGUCGUCAGAGAAGGAGGUAUGGCAUUGAUAGAACACCUAAGAAUGAACCGAUCACAGUUACAUGUAUAUCUAUUUAAUGAAAAAAAGGGACUUCGAGUUCUAGUGAAUUACUUGCCGGCAAAGGAUUUAUUACUACAAGGAGAUGCGUAAUGGUUACCGUCAUCGGAGAAGGAAGUCUGGAAAAAUUGAUAUUACCAUUUUAGCCAGAAGUGCAGAGGUAUAUGAGAAAACGAGAAGAUCCUGAGAGGUUUUAACCGAAAAUGCUCGCCGACGACAUGAAUCCAGCGAGGAGUAGUGAUAGUGACGAGUAGCAAGGGGAGGACGGCUCAAGGAAGGAACACCGAACAAAAGGAAAAAAAAAACUUCAAACUCAAAUCUGGGUGUCUGAAAUAUAUUCGACGGGGUUUUAAUCAAACGUACUCACCGCACGAGGAGUAUUUACCGAGGAGAACUAGCAGUGACAAGUAGCAACAGGAGAUAAUGAGCAGCGUGAUCUACCAGACAAGUUCAACUUUCAAACAUGUCAUCGGCCAUGUGAGUUCCACAUCGGAUCCACGCCGAUAAGCUAUUGCGCGGGAAUGUGGGGCGUUGGAGGAAACUCCAGAGUCCAGAUUCAGUGGACCCUUGGGAGGCGUGCGCGUUACCCACUUCAAAUUAAUCUUAACGUUAACAGGCUCUUGGGCGUUGAUCAAUUGAAUCCGGUUGGAUCGGACAAAAAAAAUUACAGCUGACGUUCGUGACUGUGAAAUACACCGGCGGCAAGAAAUCAAUUGGCGAUAAGUAUGCCUGUCUCCUCCUUCUUCUUCUUCUCAUCUCAUUAUUCUGACGCCGGCGGUCAUCAGCCAUCAGAACGAAGGUCCACCAGGGGAACAUGUACUCUCUCCACCGUAUCAUUCGAACCCUACCCUAUUACCAGAUCAUCGGCGACCAACACCAACCGACGUCCAUGAGGAGCUUCUAUCCAAAAUGGUCUCUUGAGUCUUGAUUAUGAAAUUCAAGCUAGCUCCUUACUAGAAAUUGCUGGUUUCCCAAGACGUACUAGUUUCCUGUCAUGAAGAUCAAUAUUGCUUUGGCCAUGCUUAAUUUUGGUAGGUAUGCUUUACCACAUUCCUGCAAAGAGUUGAAGUUGCAGAGUUUUGUUUGUUGGCCUAUUCAAGAUACUGGGUACUGGAAACAAGGCCAAGCUACUGGAAACAAGCUGAUGCCAUUCAUUGGGUGCCCUAGGGUUGCCAUGUGGCAAUUCAUGCCACUUGCUGCAAUUGGUGCCUCACAAGAUCAUGUUCUCUGCCCCCGGUUGCUUAAGCCGGAAGAUCUUGGUGAUAGAUUAGCCUUAAUGUGCCUAGAAAAAUGUUCAGUGUCUUUGAUCUUUUUUCCUUGUUGGCUUCAUUUUAGUUGGAAAUCAGAAAUAACCGGAUUAGAUGGGUUUAAAACAUUCGGAAUUUUGUAAUUUUGUUAACCCGGUAUUGUUGCUCAUUUGUAAAAUCGGAUCCAAGUAAUUUAUUUUGGAUUCUCGUCUAUGUAUGUUUGGCACGUCAAUGUUAUUCAUUAGAUAUUUAAUUUGCA